rnacentral:rRNA from 1 species
CUACGGGGGGCUGCAGCAGGGAAUUUUGGACAAUGGGGGCAACCCUGAUCCAGCCAUGCCGCGUGAGUGAAGAAGGCCUUCGGGUUGUAAAGCUCUUUCAGCCGGGAAGAAAUCGCAUGGGUCAAUACCCUGUGCGGAUGACGGUACCGGAAUAAGAAGCACCGGCUAACUACGUGCCAGCAGCCGCGGUAAUACGUAGGGUGCGAGCGUUAAUCGGAAUGACUGGGCGUAAAGCGUGCGCAGGCGGAUGCUUAAGUCAGAUGUGAAAUCCCCGGGCUUAACCUGGGAAUUGCAUUUGAAACUGGGGGGCUAGAGUGCGUCAGAGGGGGGUGGAAUUCCACGUGUAGCAGUGAAAUGUGUAGAUAUGUGGAGGAACACCAAUGGCGAAGGCAGCCCCCUGGGAUGACACUGACGCUCAUGCACGAAAGCGUGGGGAGCAAACAGGAUUAGAUACCCGCGUAGUC